rnacentral:rRNA from 1 species
AGCGAACGCUGGCGGCAGGCCUAACACAUGCAAGUCGAACGGUUCCUUCGGGGACAGUGGCAGACGGGUGAGUAACGCGUGGGAACGUGCCCUUCGGUUCGGAAUAACUCAGGGAAACUUGAGCUAAUACCGGAUACGUCCGAGAGGAGAAAGAUUUAUCGCCGAAGGAUCGGCCCGCGUCUGAUUAGCUAGUUGGUGGGGUAAUGGCCUACCAAGGCGACGAUCAGUAGCUGGUCUGAGAGGAUGAUCAGCCACACUGGGACUGAGACACGGCCCAGACUCCUACGGGAGGCAGCAGUGGGGAAUAUUGGACAAUGGGCGCAAGCCUGAUCCAGCCAUGCCGCGUGAGUGAUGAAGGCCCUAGGGUUGUAAAGCUCUUUGUCCGGGACGAUA